UCUCGAUCCACCUCCUCCAUCUUCUCUCUCUCAAUCUUACUCAGAGCCUCUUCUCUCUCGGAUCUCUUUGCCUCUCUGGGUUUUAAUCGAAGGAUGAGUUGGAGAAACUUGAGUAGAGGGAGCGGAAUACAUGCUGGAAGAUGAUGAAUAAACAACCAUUAAGGAGCAAGAAAUGCUGCAGAGGUACAAAGUCCAUUGUUGAAUGUUUUGAUUUGGAUGCAAAUAGGUGGGGAAGUUAGAAGUAAUAGAACUAACUAAAAUAUUGAAAAUGGUUUAUUGGCUGACUUUGGUGCUAUUUUGUAUUUAUUGGGUGAAGAAUAUUGAAGAAAAUAUUUUGAUGUGCUAUUGUAAUUAAAUUCACUUGUUGACCAUAAUCUGCACAAUUGUAAUUAAAUCAUCAAAAAAAAUCAUAGACUUAUAAGAGAAGAGAAAAGCAGGUCAGACAAAUUAAUGCCUCAAUCUCAUAUAAAUAUAACUAUACCUUUACAAUAAGUAGUCACGUAAAAAUGAGAUAAAAACAAUUACAUUUAUUUUAUUAUAUAAUACAUUUCAGUUUGGUACGUACUGUACGUAUAAGGAAUUUAGUUGUAAGGCAUUCUGGCAUCUUAAUUGUAAUUUGUAUGGUCAUGACUCAAGUCUAUAUUGACGCCCCAGAUAAAAUCGAACAAUGCGACAAGUGUAGCUACCUUUACUUAUCAGUUGGUGGGACGACUUUUGUUUGCAAUUUGCAAAGAAAUUGGGAAAACCCAAAUAAUGUAUAUAGCUAGCUCAUAAAACAUGCUAUGGAAAAUAGCAUACGCCAAAAAUAGACAAAUAGACAAAUAAAAUUUUAUGUAACCUAUAAAAAUUAGAACAUAAAUUACACAUUAUCGAAAA